rnacentral:lncRNA from 1 species
AGCCAACGUAUUUUAACGUAUUUUAAGAAAAGGUAAGGCUAAUUUCCGUUGUAUUUCUAUCAUUAAAGCAGUCAAACUAAGAAUGGGUUUUAAUCUACUAGAAAUUGAUUUCAUAAGAGAUAAAUGUUAUCCUUCACUGUUAACUUAGGAGUAAAAUGUUCAUCUGUAUAAAAGUUCGACCAAAAACCGUUUGGUAAAACCUACAACUUUAGAUUAUUUGUGUACAAGACCAUUUCAGUAUUGUUCUUACAAUGUCAUAUAUAUGCUUCGGACUACUUUUGUUUUAUUUUCAACCAAGCCUCAAAACAUAACUAGAUAAAGACAAUUGAGAAUGGAAAUGGGGAAUGUGCCAAAGAGACAACAACCCGAUCAUAGAGCAGACAACAGCAGAAGGUCACCAACAGGUCUUCAAUGAAACGAGAAAUUCCCACACAAAUUUGACCGUCAGAAAACUAUCAUGUUGGUUGAAUCUCGUCCUUGGUCAUAGAAAUAAUAGGCAAUAUAUUAAUGAAGGGUAUUGUUUAUCAUGAAUCGCGGUUAGACUAGUUGCCUAAAUUAAGAGUAUAAUUUGUUCACCAUUUAAUUGUAAAAUGUAUCGGACUUGAUUAAAAUCAGAGUAUAAUCUUAUAGUGCAGAGAAGAAGCAAUAUUAUACAUAAAUAUAUAUUUAAAGAACUAUACAUUGCUGUUUUAACUUCUCGAUAGCAAGCAUAUCACAAAUGCCGAUGCCCUCGACUUUCUUUCAAAAGAAAUCAAUUAUCAUAUCAAAGUCCCAAGAAAUGUACUGAUAUAGAACGGGAAGUACACUAAAAUUAAGAAUGGAAAUGGGGAAUGUGUCAAAAAGACAACAACCCAACCAAAGAGCAGACAACAGCCGAAGGUCGGCAAUCUGUCUUAAAUGCAGCGAGAAACUCCCGCAUCCGUAGGUUGCCUAUAAUUGCUUACAACAACACUUUAUUUGAACUUUGGUGGAUAGUUGUCUCAUUGGCAAGCAUACCACAUCUCUUUAUUUCUAUAUCUAUAUCAAUUCCUUCAACGUGACCUUUUGUAAAUUGUCAUUUUAAUUAUGCUGCCUUUCUUGUCUUUUCUUCAGAGUUAUGUAAAAAACAACCAUAUGAAAAAUGGUAUCUACGUGCGCCGUAAAUAAUUUUAUAAUUAGUAGCUAUAAAUGGUGGGCUAGAUGCUUAGGAAACGGUGUUCAGAAUAAAUAUCAAAUACAUUUUAUUCACAAAUAUUUUGUUUGCGUCGUAGGGUCUUAUUGACUUAUAACGAACAGCUCAUAUUUAUUAUUUUUUAUGAAUAACUUUGUUUGGCCGGUUUCAUCUUGGACUAUCGCAUGACACUUCUUAUUAAAUGACACCUAUCUCUAAAAGGACUUGACUAGUUUGAAUAUAAUGGAUGAACCCUUGUUCUAGGAAGCUUGUAUAAAACUUUUAUCCGACCACUUAUAAUUAAGCAAACGCAGUAUGGUAAAGAGAAAAUAGUAUAAGCAAUAUUCACUGUAUUAUGUCUCAAUCUAUAAAAAGUAAAAAUCACAAAAGUACUGAAUUCAAAACGGAAAAUCCCUAAUCAAUUAAAUGGCAAAAUGAAAAACUCCAUAACAUUAAACGAAUGGGCAUACUGUCAUAUUUCUGACUUGUUAUAAGCAUUUUCUUAUGUAGAAAAGGGUGGAUUAAACCCGGAUUUAUAGCUAGCUAAACCUCUCACUUAUAUGACAGUCGCAUCGAAUUCCAUUAUAUUGACAACUAUAUAUGAAAUAAUCAAACUGACAUAAACUGUAAAAAUGUCAAACAUAUGAGUACAGCAGUCAACAUUGUGUUAUAAACUUAAUCACUAUAAAACAAACAAAUCUGUAACAAAGAAGCACAAAAGGGCAUACAUAGACAAACCACAUAAGCAAUAACGAAUAAGACAAGAAUACAAAAAAUUACAAUAGCACAAAAACAUAAUGUCGGGAUGUAUAAGUACAGAGCCACGCCAUAUGUAUCAAAGAAACACAUAAAGGCAUAUCGACCUUUUUUAGCACAAUAUACAUGAGAUGUGGAAUGAUUGGCAAAUUUGAAAUGUGAAAUCAGUCAGAAUUUUUUUUUACGUGUAGUAACAAAAUAUAACAAAUAGCUUUGAUAUAAUGCUUGUUGUUCUCUUUCAGAAUUAUGUCAAAUGAAUCAAGUCCACCAAACAAGAUGGCCGCCAUUUCUUCUUAAGAAUGUUAUAAAUAUGGAUUGAAAAAAAAAACAACUUUCAAACAUUAUUGUUUUAAGUAAUGUUGAUUUUUUUUACGUAGCUUCUUUUCAAAAUGGUGCGUUGGAUGACACAGCCUGGUAUCAAUAUAGAACACAUAACGUAUAGGACAUACACCUGAAAUGAAAUUGUUUUAAAAUCUUCUUUAAUUAAUUAUUCUAUGAUUAAUAACAUGUAGGUAUUUGAUUUACUAAUUUGCUGCCAACUCUAAGACCGAAAUGUACGAUAAAUCAAGUUAGAAAUAUAACAGAGGUCAUUUGGGCUAUUUGAUAAUAAUUAACAAUCUUUACUAUGCAGAUUGUAUUGCAAUGGAAGGUUUCUAAAUGCCCUGCAUCUAUUUAACGUUUAGCUUUAUACAAACCACAAUUUUAAACAUUUACCUUGGAAACCUUUAUAUGCAUACAACUAUAUUAUAUUUUAGUUUAGAAUAAAUAUAAAUAUAAUCAAUGAUAUCAGUUCAUGACAGCACACAAUUAAGCUCAAACAAACACACAGACACGCAC